GCGCCUGUAGCUCAGGGGACCGAGCAACGGCCUUCUAAGCCGUGGGUCAGGGGUUCGAAUCCCCUCAGGCGCACCA
rnacentral:tRNA from 1 species